GGAGACUGUUUCCAUUUGGGGGCAACUCUGGUUGCUGGGAUGUGGGGGACCUCCUUUAAUAGCCGCACCCCCACCCGUGGCCUCUGCCCAAGCUGACUUUGCUCGUCCAUCUCUCCCCUGGGCCGCCGAGACCCCCCCGCCGCCCCACUCCCCCCCGCCCCGUCUCCCCGGCGGACAGACCUCAGCAGCCCUCAGGACGGCAGACCGACUCCAGGUCUUCGUAAACCGGCCGGGACUGUUAAACACAUCCUAUAAUUAGAAGGCAGGUUUUCUAAACGAAGUGAAAAAUGGAACGUUCCCCUUUGUUUGUUCACUGGAUGCUCAGUGCAUGUCCCAUGACCCAGAGGAGCUGUGACUUUGGGUUUCCAAGAAGCCUUAAUAAGGUAAUGUUUAUAAAGUUGUUCGCUUUACAACUCCGCCGGAGCACAACUCUGUGAAAUGAGGACAAGCCCUCGUUCCGAGAGAGCUGCCCCUCCUCGCCCUGUCCCAGGGGUGGAGAAGCCCGUCCCCUUCCGCGGUGCGCAGAGCCUGGGGUUGAAGGAAGCGGGUUCUGGCCCCUGCUCUGACGCGGAUUGCUGUGUGACGUUGUGUCAGUGCCCCUCCCUCUCUGGACUUGUUUCCCCACGUGUGAGAGAGAAGCCGUGAUGAGACUUGCUUGUUCUAAGAGUCGCUUCUGACUUCAAUGUCCGGCAGUUUGGUGUGUGUCCCUCUACGACGGGGUUUAUGUCCAGCAAGGAGUCCGCUCCAGAGCUGACCUCCCUUCUCGGGGCUUCUCGGAAGAACUUGGUGAUAGGCCUCGAACGGGACACAUCGGGGCUGGAGCUGCCAGGACCAUGGAUCCGUCUCUUGGUGCCUCAGCGCUUGAACCCUUGCAGUCCUCUCUCAGGAGAGAAGAUGCGUAAACGGUCAUGUGACAGUGACUUGCAGGAAACAAGCUCUGCGAAGGAAUUUCAGUUGCGGCUCACGAGCAAGAAGGCUGCCCGUGUCCCGUCGGGAGGUGGCAGCCCCGCGGGGAGGACAGCACUCUGCUCACGCCAUUCAAAACCCGGCACCUGUGGAGCUCUUUCUGUGAGCCCGACUCUGGCCCCUCGGUCGACCUCACAGCAGACCUGCGGAGCGGGUGCUUGUCAUCAGCCUCACCUGACAGAUACUGUAUUUAUGAGAACUGACCUCCCGAUGGAAAUUUGGCAAGAUUUCACGUUCUGGAGACGUUGUACCUUCCAGCCCGUGUCCCGAGGACGGAGGUCGCGGGCUUCCCAGGAGAUGCGGCGUUCCCCUGGGUGCAGGAGUACCGGGGACCGAGAGGAGGGGCCCAGCAGAGCCCCAGGCCCCAGGCGGGUCCUCCAGCGGUGAUGUUGGUACUCCGUCCGUCCUGCAUAAGACCGUGAGCUCAGGAACAGGUCUGGCCGUCCACUGCUGUGUGCCCAGGGCCUGGCACGUCGUAGGUGCUCAGGGUCCAUUUGUUAAAUGAAGGGAGUAAACCCUUCUCGAGAACUUUGAAGGGUCUUCCUUGCCUGUACUGAAGGUCACGGCUCCUGGAAAUUACGGAGCCUCCCAGACAAGGCUUUAAACUGCCACCUGGGGCAGCAGCUCGGCGUUGGCUCCCAGCAGGUUCAGGCCAGAGAGCAGCCUCGGCAGGAGGCUUGGGCUGGGGUUCCCUGCAGCCCUAAGAGCCUGCCGGUUCCCGAGGCGGUUUUCUGGUGGGGGAGGUGGGGUGGGGGCUGGUGCCCUGGCUCUGGCAGUCAGGUCGGGCUGCUGCCAGGCCCCCCAGCGGUGGGUAGUGCGUAGCCUCAGUUUCGCUGGUCUCUUAGCAGGUCCUGUCCUGGUACAGUGGGUCCCUGGCUCCUGAGCCAGGUGCUGAGAGGCACGUGUGAAUAAGGCAUGUUUGCUGCUUGCGAGAAGCUUCCGCCCAGUGACUCUUCGGAGCAAUAACAGAACAUGCACACGCAAGACUCCAAGCACAAAUUCACGGCCACACAGCCACACACCGAGCCAGUACAGUGACUGCAGCACCGUCUGAGCCCACAGCAGCAGCCACCACGUCCAGAGGCUGCCAUCCCCGGAGAGCCAAGAUCCUAUCUUUUCCGCUCUGCAGAAGAAACUAAGGCUCAGAGAAGUCAGCCCGUCCACCCGUCCCUCCUUCGCCUGUCUGACCGCCUUCCGUGGGAAAAGCUCUGCUGUGGGGCAGGAGCCCCCGAAGCCCAGGUUCCCACGCCUCCCUCAGGCCUGCCUCUGACCGGCCGUUUGCUGGUUGGCCAGGGUUCCCACUUAGGAUAGCCUUGAGGGCACAUGACCUCUCAGGGGUUUCUGGAAACCAGGGCUGGGAGAAGGGGGCCUCCUUCUUGGUCCCAGGAUGGAAACUCAGGGAUGUCCCUGGGUCCGUCCUUGAGUCUCCACAGCCCCUGCCUGGGUACCUGGGUACCCACAGACCCCCCCCCCCCAUUAGGAGGGUCUGGCCCAGCUCCUGGUUCUCUCCUGACCAGGCAAGGGGCCCAGCCUGGCCCAGGGCUGUGCGUAUAAGGUUUGGGGAAGAAGAGUAAGAACUGGAAGACUGAACUGCUCAGAGCAGCCUCAGCCAGCUCCGCACCGGCUCGGAGGGCCUGCCCGGCCUUGGUUUCCUCGGGGUAGAACGGGGAAGGGCGGGGAGCCCCGGGGCCCCGGUCGGGGCCUUGUCAGGGUACAGGUCCCUGGGCCUUCUCUUUCACAGCUCCAGGGCCAGGGCCUUGGACUCGGGUAACAAACGCACAGAAGCUGCAGGCGGCGCAGAUGAGGAGAGUGUCGUGGUUUCAGGUCCUGAGAAUCCAGUUGGAGCCCCGUCUGCUUUUAAUUUCCCCGCCUUUCUGUGGAUGCGGUGGGGGGGCUCCGCUGCAGGUCUGUCGGCCCCCACCACCAGCAGGAGUGGAGGGGCAGCAAGGAGGCCGCCCGCACUGCCGCCAGGGUGCCCCAGCCCCAGCCCCUCCCGCGCGAGUGCAGGGCCGGGACAGCCCGGGGUGGGAGUGGGGCCCUUGCCGCUUGAGGAGGUAUUUUCGGAGUCCCCCUCCCUUGAGCGUUUGCAGCGAUGGAAUAGAGCCUGUCUAGUAUUUGACCAAAUAUGGUGGGGUCUCUUGUGAGCUCGAGCCUCAGCCAGCCUCUCGGUCACGCUGUGGAAACCUGCCCUGGGGAGAUUAAUCUUGGGACGUUCCGGAGCGCCUCGCACCCUGAGCGCUUCCCCCGGCGAUUCCUGUAAAUGGCCAAGCGCGGCCGCGAGCAGGAGGGUGCCGUCUGGAUGCCCGCUCGUGGUGUCGUCCCCCGCCCCCGGGACUCGCUCACUUUCGGCCGGGCUGUUCCCUUGCGGGGAGAGACCCAGCCCAGCAGGGCCAGUCUGUUCAGGGCAGGGUUCCAGGACGCGUAGACCCGGGGGUCACCGGAGCUCACAGACUUGGAGCCAGGCCCUGGGAAGCCCAGGGCCGUGUCGCCAGGAGAGCGGGCCGAGGGGGGCAAAGGAGAGUUGGCUGAGCAGCGGGAACCGUGCUUGCUCUCACGUGAAAUGGAACAGCUAAUGUUUAGAAUAAGCAUUAUGUCAUUAUUUUCUAAUAAUUUCCAUAAUUACCUGCUGUGUUUAUUGAGCAUAUACUAUGUGCCAGGCACUGGGCCAGCUGUUUCGCCUGGGGGAUUUCGCUCUGUCCUUGUAACAGCCCCCAGAUACUGUCACGUCCUUGUUCCAAAGAUGGAGGGGCUGAGACUCAGAUUUCAGAGGGGACGGGGGCAGGCUCACUGUCACACUGUCCAUCCCUGGGCACAGCCCCCAUUUUACAGAGAGAGACACUGAGGCCGAGAGAGACAGGACGCCACAAGCAGCCACGCGGGGCAGGCCCCGGCGAGCCCCUUUGCACGAGGGGCCGUGCUGCGCCCGGGGGCCAGGACAACCAGCCGGAGGCCUUCGCAGACCGUGGCUUGGCCUGUGCCGGAGCUCUCGGAUGCAGGAGCGUGUUCAUGGCAGGCCAGAGCCGUGCAGACAACGGGCCAAGACAAACAGAGUGGGGUGGUGGUUGAAGCCCUGCGCGGGGCCCAGGAAUGAGCCCUAGCUCUGUCGCCUCUCGCUGCUGUGCCACCCUGGAUAGGUUCCUUCUUUGUUCUGGCCUCAGUUUCCUGCCUGAGAUCUAAGGGGUGGGACUCUGGGCACCCAGGGCCCCGCGCUCCCCUGAGGCUGGCUGAGGCCAGGGUGCCUGCGGCCGCCUCCCUGGGGGCUGGGGCCAGCACCCUUCGAGAACAUUUGCUCUCCCGACCAACGGACAGCCUGUGCCUCCUCCGCCCUUGCCCCCUUGCUGUCCCCAGACCAACGAAGCGGAUUGUCUUCACCGGCCCUGUGGGUGCUGGCUGGGCGGCCGGCCGCAGGCCACAGGCGGAGGUGCCACCCGCCAGAGCCCCGCCAGACACACAGGGCAUUGUCCCUCGGUCAACAGCCCCUGGGCACCUCGGCCCAGCUCCUGGCCUGCCCCCACGCCCCUCGCUGCCUACUGCGCCAGGCCCAGCCAGCUGGGGCCCUAGGGCUCCCAGGCGAUGAUGAGCCCACCCACCCACGCCCCCAGCAGCCCCCUGAUGAGCUAUAAUUGCUUCGCUCCGUCCUGUUGCUGCCACUCUCUGGGCGGCGGCAUCUGGGCUCCGGGCGGGCGGCAGCUGCGGGCCGGUCGCCGGGCUCACGGGAUGGACUGGCUGCACCACCUGGUACGUGGCGAUCCCCGCCCCACCCCCGCUGCUUUUAGGGCUCGAGGGUUUCGUUGUUUCUUUCCUACGGAUUCAUGGCAGCCUCUGUUUGGCUUGGAAUCUGCAGAGGCGAGCUUUCCUCUGUCCGGUCCCUGAGGGCGAGGAGGAAACAGGCUGGUCGCAGAGCCUGCAGCCAGGGCAGGAGCUCCGGCCCUGAGCAGGCUCAGCCCCCGCCACACUGGAGCCCUUUCAGGCCACGGCUGCGGGGCCUUCCUGGCAAACAGUUAUCAGGCUUUUUCCACAGAGUCUCCCGGUCCCGAGGUCCGCGCUGUGGGACCUUGGGCAAGUCCCGUUUGUCCUUCUCUCUCUCUUUUUUUUUUUUUUGUCUUUUUGUCCUUCUCUUCUGUAACGGGAAGGAGGCUUUGAUUCUGUCCUUGGAGGAGUGGAGAGCCAGGGUUAAGAACGCCGUGUGAGCAGCUCAGACAAGAGAGCCUGUUGUUAGGGGACAUUUUUCUACCCCAGAAUCAAGGACCAAAAAGGAAGAAUUCAGCGACUUGAGGCUGUCACAGAUUUUGCGCCAAGAAGUGGUUGCGCCAAGAGGGGCUCUGCUGAAACUUGUUUCCAAGGGCCCAGGCCGCCGGGGUGGGUAGAUGGGCACGAGCUAUGUGAGCCGUGGGGGAGCCUGGCUUGACUCCGGGAGGGACCAGCCCUGGCCCCCAUCCAAAUCGCGGCCCUUUCCCCUAGCCCCCUGAGGCGUCUGCAUUCUGCUGGGCCUCCGAGUUCUCUGCUGUGUGUGCGUGAGAGGCUUUCUUUAUGCUCUGGUUCCAGGGGCAAGAGGUGGACGACGGCCAGCGAGGGUGGACACGGGGCAGGGCAGGCGGAGGGCUGGGGCGUGGAGGAGGGGUACAGGUGUCACGGAGGCCGCAGGGACCCUGGCCCGGACCUGCCGUCUCCCAGCUUCGUCUCACAGCCCCUGCUUCCCGCCCCGUUUCAGCCUCACUGCUCCCUUUCAGCCACGUUCUCAACCAGCCGAAACUUCCACGCACACACACGGUUCCCACCCGCCCCACCCGGCACUGGCGUUCCGGGCUCGUCUGUCCACAUCUGCCUCCCCCCGUGCCCUUCAGACCCCUCCCCAGAUGGCUCUGCAGGACCCCCGCUGCCACGAGGCUGGGCAAGCGGCCCCCUCUUAGACCACAGCGCCUGGUCCCGGGCUCACACUCGCGCAGCGAGGCUUAGGUGCUUGUUGUCUUGCUCACCCCGUUCUCCUUGCCGGGCCGGAAGCUUCAGAAGGGCAGCCACGGCGACAGGCGUUCCCUUGUUCAGCCGGUGUUUACUGAAUGCCUAAGUGCCCAGAACCGUGGAAACGCAGGGACAGGACAGUGUGCGGCAGUGGACACAGGGCUGGCCCUCACGGAGCCUGUGCUCCGUGGGGGGCAGACCUAUAAACGAGUCACACGUCCACCCUGCUAAGACGUGCGGAGAGCCCAAGGUGGUCCCGGAGGCCUCAGAGGGGCGAGAGGCGGGACCCUGCGAGAGGAGCACAGGGCGCGGGGGUGAGAGGAAGCCGGAGGCCGAGGCACAGAUGCAAGGAGCUGGGAGGGCCGUGAGGAGGGAGGGCUCGGCGGCGGCAGACAGGCCAGGAAGGCGGCUUGGCACACCCGCCCACAGCUCCGUGCUCGGCCGGGGCGUGGGGAGUUGAUGGGAAGAGCCGGUUGGGGCAGACGCGGGAGGCUGUUGAGCCGUCCAGGCGGGCGGGGCUGCGGUGCUGGUGGACGGGUGGACGGGUGGUGAGACCUGCAGGAGGAGCAGCGGGACUUUGCAGGGAGUGUGGGGCAUACGUGUGCCGGACGCGCGUCUGGCGGGCUGGUGGGACCAGGCCAGGCAUGGCAGGGGAGGGUGGCCGCCCCAGAGGCUCCCCCCGCCAUGAGCCCCAAGUCUUUGCCCAGAGGGCGACCUGGCGUUCCCGCCUUUGACCCGUGGCCUUCUUCCGCAGCUCUUGCUUCUCACCAUCUCCGUCUUCCUGGGGCUGGGCCAGCCCAGGAACCCCAAAGGCAAGCGGAAGGGGCAAGGGCGGCCUGGGACCCUGGCCCCUGGCCCUCAGCAGGUGCCGCUGGACCUGGUGUCCAGGGCAAAGCCGUUUGCCCGCAUGGAGGAAUACGAGAAGAACCUUGGGGACAUGGUGGCCCAGCUGAGGAACAGCUCUGAACUGGCCAAGAGGAAGUGUGAGGUCAACCUGCAGCUCUGGCUGUCCAACCAGAGGAGCCUGUCACCCUGGGGCUACAGCAUCAACCACGACCCCAGCCGCAUCCCCGCGGACCUGCCGGAGGCGCGGUGCCUGUGUCUGGGCUGUGUGAACCCCUUCACCAUGCAGGAGGACCGCAGCAUGGUGAGCGUGCCCGUGUUCAGCCAGGUGCCCGUGCGCCGCCGCCUCUGCCCCCUGCCGCCGCGCACCGGGCCCUGCCGCCAGCGCGCGGUCAUGGAGACCAUCGCCGUGGGCUGCACCUGCAUCUUCUGAGACGCUCUCCCCGCGCCCCCAGCCGCGAGCCAGGCAGCGGCGGGUGAAGCGAGACCUCGGGUCUGCUCCUGGGGCUCCGAAGCCAAAAGCCGUGGGAGGUCGAUUCCGGCAGAGACGAAGGAGGACCCGUCACCCGGAGGCCUCCACCGCGGAGACAGCGCAUUAAACGUUUCGUUCAUUCCUACCACUUGGGAUGGCCAGACGCGUUCUUGAAUUGGAGUUGAUAAGCCUACAUUUCAGCCAUGGGAGUGGAGCUUGAGUGGAUUCUGGCUAAAAUUAUCCCGGGAAGCUUCGGCCCGGUUCCAGACACAUGGAAACAGACUUCAUGUGCCAGUGCAGGCUGAUCUGUCCGCAGCCGCCUCCUCCCGAGGGGCUGCUCUUGCCUGAGGCCCCGCAGCUGCUCUCCAGGCCUUAAGACUUCAGCUGCAGCCAAGGGACCCACGGCCUCCAGAGCCUUUCUGCGGGGGUACAGUCCAGCCGGUGCCUUGGGCACCCCUCCUCCUCUCGCCCCGGGAUGCCCCCCGCCGGCUCCGCCCAGCCCUACCUCAUGAACUUCUCCAUGACCUCCUCCACCCACAGCUGCAGCCUCAGGAAGCUGAUGCCGUAGUGCCACCAGAGGCGGAAGAGGUUCAGCAGGUACCAGUCGGUCUCCUCCAGCACCAGGCUCUCCCCGUUGAAGAUGGCACUCCUGCCUCCCACCUCUCGCCGGUGCCGCAGCCCUGCCGAGACAGGACAAGGCCCUCAGGGGAUCCACUCAGCCAAGAACAAGGGAACUUCAGCCAUCGUCCUGGACCGUCCAGGGGCAGACGGCCCCAGGGCUCGUGUUGGAAUGGCUGACCUGGGCACAGAGGCCACGUGGAGGCUCACAGCUCCCAUCCCGGAGUCACCAGGUCCCCCUCCCCAGAGGCAGCUAGGAAACGCUGCUCUGAACCUCCUGACGCGCGUCUCAGAGAUUGUGCUGUACCUGCGCCCACAGGACGUCCGCACCCUGGCUGCUCCAAAGUCUGUUCUGGCUCUGAGAUGCUGCCCGGAACCGCUGUCCAGACAGAUGCCAACCGCUAACGCGCACCGAGAGGACAGGAAGCAGCUGAGAAGCUCCCGAGUCAGACGGCCCCCCGAGGAUCCAAGACACGGCGUCCCUUCACUCAAGAGUCUAGUAACCGACCCACCGGGGGAACGAGAUACUUCUGAGAAACUGCUGUCACAGGGCCUGGAAGCUGCCCUAGGGCCACAGGGAAGCUGAAGGCCCCACCUCAUGGAGAACUGGCUCAUUCGAUGCCCUCGACCUGACACCCACUCUCUGGUCUCUGGACUGCCUCCUACCCCCCCGCGAGGUUCUGGCUGAGCCGGUCCUUCUAGGAAGCCCUCCCAGAGCCGCAGAGACUGGACGAAGUGCCCCCUCCAGAUGCACGGUCGAGCACUAACUUCCUGGAAUUGUGCAGACGGGGACUCUGGGGCACUGCGCCUGCUACUCCGUGACCCUCAGUAUGGAUGGUUCACAGCAUCCAGACAGGCCAGAGUCUCGUUCCUGGGGGCACCUGGCAAAGAGCCAGGUCCACAGCCCAUGCUCAGUGCUCCUGGACUUUCCGAAGUUCCUGGGCCAAGGAUUCAACCCACGCUACAGCAGUAACGAGAGUCACAACAGUGGCAACACUGGAUGCUGAACCUGCUGAGCCAUCAGGAAACUCCUAUAUUCAGGUAACUGGAGCCAUGUUUUAAAACCUCUAGUGCACUUGAGAACGUGGGCAGCGUCUGCGUGGAUAGGAACAACAUACUUACCAAGGACCACUGGGAACACGGAUGAUGGAGCCAAGACUGGAAGAGUGACGACAAUGCAAGGCCAAAGCUACAGGGGAGGCUGGUUCCAGAGGGGUACUUAGCCAGGAGGCUGGGUAUGUGGAUGCCCGUGGGAAAGCAGAGGCAAAGACAAGGCCAGGCCACGGUCAGGAAGCACACAUGGAAGCAGAGGGCCAUGUGCCAGUCAUCUGGCUGAGAGGACGGCCAGAAGUUCUGCAGCUCAAGUGAAAAGAUUAAAGCAGGAAAACAACGAGAACUAAGCAGCCAGCACAAGAAACUGAGGCCGUGCUGGAGAAGAAGGCGGCACAGGAGUCCGGACCUGCGGAGGUGGGAAACCGACAAGACUGGGCGCGUCCACUGAGCGUCAGCAAAGUAGGCCAGCCAGUGACGUGACCGUGACAUGUCACCACACAACGUGAAUCUGGACCAGAGACACUAAACGCAAGAGACACAGUUAUUUCAAUUAAGGUUUUAUUGAAACUGUUUCUGAAGAUUCUGUUUCAUCCUCAGUUUUCCUUACUUGAUUUCGCUUUAGUGUCAAGGAAUCUUUCUUCACUGAUCAAAUCCUUUGCCAUGAAAAAGCACCACAUGAUGUAUAUCAGCAUCGAACAGAAUGAUCCCUUUAUGGCAGUGAGGAAAAUCCGUAAAAGCUUUGUGGAACCCAAGGACCCAACGCCAAGACCCCCUUCAGAUGAGCCAAACUUCUUCGCACGCCCAUCUACAAGCCAAUAAAUAAUACUCUUUUCACUUUACCAUCAAGAUGAAAAUAAUUAAGAAGAGUAAAGCAAUUUUUUUUCUCCAGUCAAAAAAAAUGAGGAUUUCUCUGUUAUGGUUAAAACACACACACACACACACACACACACACAAGCUGAAAAAAAAAAGUUCACUGUGAUUGAUUAGCUUAUGUUCCUUUUUUUUUUUUUUUUUAAAGUCAAGUACCACUUAACCAGUCUUCUCCGUCCCCUAGACUUUAGGUAAUAAUAAAAACAUCAGAAAAACAAUGUGCAUAAUAAAAUGUCGUAAAAAAUAUUUGAGGGCCUACUCUAAUAGUCAGUUGGCACGUUUCACUUAAUCUUUGCAAUAUCUUGAGGAUUAAAACCAUUUCACAGGCAGGGAAGUGGGCUCAGCAGAGUGAGUGACGGUCGUGCAGAGUCAGUGCCUGCAGGGCGUUCGCUUUAUUGUGCUGCGCUGGCUCCUGCAAGCCCGUCAGCUUUUUGAGAUUCUCACCGUUGCAGCUCCAUCUUCUAAAUUAUACUUUUAAGUCUGCAAAACUACUGAAUAAUAGAAGAAUCUAAAAUUAUUUUUAAUGUGCUUGCUAAAAUAGGAGGCUGGAAGGAAUAUUAAAAACUCUUCAAGUACUUAGAACAUUGCAUCCCGAACGUUGCGGUUCUUCUCACUCACUCGUAAUAACUAGUAACCCGAGAACACACAGGAGAUUACAGUGGGCUCAAUUUGGGGGUCACCAUUUGCCACUAUCAAAGGAACGAAGGCAAAGAAAGACAACUUCCUACCGUGAAUGCGGACUGCUCACUAUGGUCACAGAACGCACUCAGUGGAGUGCCAGAGAGGUUCUGGUUUUAAAAUCUCACCUCCCGUCUUUUGUGUGCAUCUUAGAAGCAAGUAUUUGUUCUUUUAAGGUGUCUCAACCUGAUGGAGCCGGUCAGACUUUGUUGACACGUCCGUGCAGUGCGCCAGAACCAGCAAGGACAUCCGGGAGGGCAGCCUUCACCACUCCGCGGAGCGGGGUCUCGAAGUUCAGGUAGAGAUUUACUUACUUUAUGGGUGACUAACUGACACCUAACCCUGGGUAAUGCGGACACCUAAACACAUUUAAUUGUCUGCUGGGGACAUAUUUGCAUGUUUGUUAUAGAACUUGUGAAUCUUUUUUUUUUUUUUGCUUUUUAGGGCCGCACCCGCGGCAUAUGGAGGUUCCCAGGCUAGGGGUCUAAUUGGAGCUCCCAGCUGCCGGCCUACGCCACAGCCACAGCAACGAGGGAUCUGAGCCAGGUCUGCAACCUACACCACAGCUCACAGCAACACCGAUCCUUAACCCACUGAGCGAGGCCAGGGAUCGAACCCGCAACCUCAUAGUUCCUAGUCGGAUUUGUUUCCGCUGCGCCAAAUGGGAACUCUGAAUCCUAAAUGAUUGAAGUUAAUAUCUAGUUGUUUCUUAAAUUCGUACUGACAUUUCAUUUACUAGAGAUUUUUUUUCUCUGAGUCUGGUCCUAAAAAGACUAUUUUCACACUUUAGAAGAGCUCAAAGGGUGAGAUUAUACAGUCAUUAACGCUGCUUCUAACUUCAAAGUAUCCCUAACGACCUCCUGUCUAAUGUCUGAUUGAUGUGUCAUUCAUUCACUGACUCGUUAUUGAAUAACCUUUGACAGGACACAAUCAAUACCAAGUCUGAACUAAAACAUACAUUCAUAGGCUCAUUAACUCUAGGAGGUCAAGACAUAAAAGGGAAGCUAGAUGUUUACACACGAGACAUAAGACAGAUACAAAAACUAGGAAAUAAAGCUUGUCAGUGUCAGAGAGGUAGUGAAUUGUCAUACCAACCCUCCAAAAAACCCCCAAGGCAAAACACCUCCCAAACCCAGCAGAACCACAUGAAAUGGCAAUGAGAAAUCUCGGGGAGCUAAUGGUUUUGUCCCGACCACCUCUCCACAUAAUCUCAUGCAGGACCACAAAGUACACUGACCAAAUGGCCGGGGAUUUAAGGAGAAGUCAGGGGCAAAGGACCUACACAGACGGAUGUAGGGCCUUAGCUGCUGGGCCGCCUCCAUCUCCCUGAAAUGAUUAUAGAAGCAGAAGGGCUGAAGCUGGUCUGGCGACAGCUCAGCCAAGCAAGCUCAGGGCUUCUUGGCCGUACUUGCUCCAAAGGGAUCUGGAUGUUUGAUUUCUUGUUGCAUCCCCCCCACGUCUUGCCUGGGCCUUUAGUUUUGCGAAUGGGAGUUGAAAAGGGCCAGUGAGUACGGAUAUUCUGAAGUCUACCUGGCGGGAACUACAAGGCCAAAAGAUGGCUAAAAGGAAAAUAAAAUCAAAAGGGGAGUUCCUGAAAAUCUGUGUGCAUAAAAAUCAACCCAAAUGAUCUAAAUUCCUCCAGCUCUGCAGCCUGCUCUUUCGGGACCCACAUAAUGAACCAAUCCCACCAUCGCCUCUUCCUACAAACACAAGGCCCUAUACAGGUCCUGCUACAGGGACCCUUCGAAGGAAUGUUUAGUUGAAAGUACAUAAACAUAUACUCAUUUCCACCUUUAAAAGAGAUUUUGGAUUGGAAGUCAUCCGAGUACCAAUUUUAAGAUAAUUUUCUUAAACAUAUUUUGAUAAGGCCACAGGAACACUUAUCACACACUGUUCAAAUGCCCAAUGGCAAGACUUCUGAUGAGACCAAACAGGUCACAUGAAAUCAAGAGAGUAUCUUAGAAAUAAAGCCAAUAUGACUAAAUCCAGAACAGAUCACAUGAAGUACCUCAUGUACCAGAGAAACCUCGGGAAAUAAAUAAAGGGAUCCCAGGCGGCUGUGCUCGGGGAGAGCAGCUUCAGAGUCGUCUCUGCGACUCCACGGCCACUUCUACCCGGGCGAGUCUAAUGGUGCGGCCGUGAAGUUUGUAGCCAUCUUGCCUCACCAGUGCCACGGUGCCCGGCUGCACCCCAGCGCCGGCGGGCACGUGACAAAUGAGUUCGUGCUCGUGCGGGUCGUACUGGGCACCAAGGGGGGUCAUCUUCUCCAGGCCGUGUUUGGCAAACACACUCUUCAGCUUUGCUUCCAGAAGCGACAACGCUCGGAAGAUCUUCUCUAGAACGAGCUUCUGGUCCCCAGGCUCGGCCUCUUCAGAAGCACACCCUGCAGUCUUCUCCAGAAGGUCGGCCACCUCCACCAGGUCCUUACAGAAGCUCUGAAUUCCUACAGAGAGACCAGACAUUCUCACUGCUGGUAGGAAAUCACGGCCCAGAGAGGGCGAACCCCAGGUCGCGCCAAGAGCCCCACACGGGAGAGGGGGCUACCCAAGCGAUGGGCCAGCAUUUCUCUUGGGAGACGUAGGACCUGGAAGCUUUCUGGGAAGUGGGGAAGCUGUUCAGAGCCAAGAACUAGGUAAGACUGCAUACCGCGUUCAGAAAGGUUCUCAGGCACCAAAGCAAAGUCCAAUACGGAAAACCUGUAACGCUGCACGCCAUGCAACUGCAGGCGCGUGCUUGGGCUGUGGGAUGGGAAUCCGGUGAAACCAGAUUGUGAUCAUCAUUAUGCAACUACAGAUGUGAUCAAUUCAUUGGAGUAAUAAAAAAAAUGAAAAAAAAAAAAAAAAAAAAAACCAAAAACUGCAGGCACAGCAAAAGUCAUCACAUGUGCCCUUCACGCGUGAACCCCUUACUCAGCUAGCAUCGUCACGAGCAAAUCCGGAACGAGACGUGCUACAUUCGGGGAGAAAUUUCUCAAAGGCUUGGAAAUGGGCCAAAAGCUUAUUCAAUGUCACGACUGCAAAAACAGAUUUGACCCAGGACAGCUUUCAGGGCUGUCGGAUUCCAAGUGGUCCGAGCCUUUGACUCACACCGCAGCAAGCUGGGACGGCUGAGGGUGAUGCAAAGGACUUUUGUCGGCAGUUGUGAAAAUUGGUGGGGACACUGCUGAUCAUCGCACUAUGCAUAUAGACCAGUUCUGCGUGCCUGAAGCAAAUUUCAGCAUUUCUGACGGCCUGUGUAUCUGCUUUUUGGAUUCGCCUCGGAACAUUUUCAUGACUCACUUGUUAAUUAGUGAGUUAAACAGAACUGCCUGUAUAAGCACUGGAAUGUUCACCACAGAGGCUUGAAAACUAAAAUCACAGAGGUCUGGUGAACAGACACGCAAGCGUCAUUUGAGCAAAUGGUUCACUUGACCACAUUCCAAGAGAGCAGGACCAGAGGAGAGCCUGUGGGGAUCCAGGAAGGGUAGGGCGUGGGUGUUUUGCUAAGCAGUGUGCAGCAUGGCGAGCAAGUGCCCUUAAGCUCACAGAUACCUUUAUUAUGAAUAAACCUCUCACCAAAUAUCUUGGCGUCUUCCACACAUCUCUGGGUUCGCCUUCGUAUGUUUUCGCCAUCAGCUACAGCUCUCUGGUACCUGACCUGAGCAUCGAAAGCAAAGCCAAGAUGACAAGAAACCAAAUGCUUUGUUGGUGAAAAAAAGAAACUUUCUGCUUACUUUACAAAUUUCACCCUUGGCAUAGUUUUGUUUGUUUCUGUUUUAAAGGGUCACACUUGUGGUAUAUGGAUGUUCCCAGGUUGGGGCUGAACCCACAUCACAGCCACAGCAGCGUGGGAUCUGAGCCACAUCUGUGACCCAUGCCGCAGCUUGUGGCAAUGCCAGAUCCUUCACCCACUGAGCAAGGCCAGGGAUCAAACCCGCAUCCUCAUAGAUACUAGUCAGGUUCUUAACCCUCUGAGGCACCGUGGGAACUCCGGGAUGAGUUUUAUUAAAAAAAAAAAAAAAUUAGGACUUGUGCAGGAAUCUCAGAUCAGCUAUCCCAAAUUCCAAGUCAGAGUAGAACUCUAACGCAGUUCCGACAGGCUGUCAGGUGGUGUGCUGGUCUGAACAGUCACAGCUGUUUUCAAGCCCCUUAUCUUGAGAAAGAGCUUUCCUUUUCACCAUCAGCCAGCACUGCCGCCUACAACUGCCUUUUGUUGAACUCAAGGACAACCAAGAGUCAAGUGUGAAAAUACCGAUGCGAGGGCAACGACUCUAGCCCCCUCGCCCUUUCCUCUUUCCUCCUCCUCCUCCCUGCUCCCCUCACUACUCUCAAAAGACACACCUUCCAACCUCCUCCCUUCCGAGGGCGGGCGGGGGUCUUGCUUGGGAAUUGCUCUGCUUGCUUAGCUUUCUCAACAUCUACCUGCCCUCCAGCAACGACCCAGUAAGCCAGCUGUGGUCUGACGGCAGAUACUAGCAUCCACGACCGCAUUCGUGCCACAAAGGUUUGCUGAGUGUCUCCCUCAUGCCAGGCACUGCUGCCUUCGAAGCUACCACAGCAUCAGCGAAGGGCUGGGCCACAGCAGGGAAGUGACGAGAGACGCGCGUGUGCAGUCAGCGGUGUGUGUGCACCUGCACCAGACCACCCUGCCGACCCCAGAGCCAGCAAGAGGAAACUCAGUUUAAACAGCCGACUGAAAACCCUUACAGGGAUGUUGAAACCAGCGAGACGACAGGAACGCAGGUGACGCGCAGUCUACUCACGGUCAAGUCCUGGACUUCCUUCUCGAGUUUAACGGCUCUCAGCUUCAAGGCUCGCUCUGUGCGCAGCGGCGGGUCCUCAGAGCCGCAGUCCUCGCCGGCCGUCCUCUGGGUGGCGGUGCUGAAAGGCAGCGGCCGUGCCCUGGAGCGGGAGGGGGUGGCACCUCAUGGAGAAAGGCCAUCCCGAGCGGCCAAACGGCAGCCGAGGUCCGAGACGGAAAGGCUCCCCAGAUGGACCCUCUGGACGAAGCGCCUUCAGUUUCGGGAACAGCAGGAAGACUCACGUGUACCUGCUCGCUGCCGCGGCUGUCAGAGUUUUACUUAAAUCACCUUUUCAACGCACGGCAUGCGAGAGAAACGGUAUUCUCACCCCUAUUUUCUUUCUUUCUUUUUUUUUUUGUCUUUUUGCCAUUUCUUGGGCCGCUCCCACGGCAUAUGGAGGUUCCCAGGCUAGGGGUCGAAUCGGAGCCGUAGCCACCGGCCUACGCCAGAGCCACAGCAACUCGGGAUCCGAGCCGAGUCUGCAGCCUACACCACAGCUCACGGCAACGCCGGAUCGUCAACCCACUGAGCAAGGGCAGGGAUCAAACCCGCAACCUCAUGGUUCCUAGUCGGAUUCGUUAACCACUGUGCCACAACAGGAACUCCCUCACCCCUAUUUUCGAAGCAAGAAAACCGAAGCUCAGAGAGGCUUACGACUUGCUCAGUGUCUCUGAACUGGGACACUGAGCAUCAGGCAGUAGCAGCAGCCGGAAGCAGGAACGUAAAAGUCAGCAAGAGGAGAUCAAAUUGUAACACCUAGAGCCAGCAGGGCACUCGCGGGAGCUAGAAGCACAAGGCCGUACAAUUCAGGUUCGGUCCUUCGCUUUAUUGAUGGGGACAGUUACGCCCGGUAAAGGCACCUCGACUUGAAAUGAGGCCUAUAAUUCUAACACCUAUUUGAUCACAAGCUCUUGCGUACAAGGCUUUUAUGCAAGAGAACGUGCGCUAAGAGAAGAUGAGUUGGGAACUCGCCUAUGUGGAGAAUCGAGUCAAUUAAAACUUCAAAAACGUUUACUGUAAGUUGUGGACUGUGACAUGUAAACAGGUGAAUAAAACAGAUCUUUGUAUUCAA